AACACAAACUUUGUAAUUUAGUUAACAGUUAUGCCAACUUUACUCUAUUCUUUUGAUUUUUGUUUUUCGAAAACCUUGAAAUCAUUGACCAUCGCCCGACUAUUGAUUUUGGUUUUUAUUGUUUUGGUUUACACUUUUGCACGCCAGGUGUUUGCUGUUUUGCCUCCUCGGCAUGGAUAUUUUCUAGGUUGUGUGCUCUGCUUUGAUAAUAGUUGGGGGUAAAUAAGAAACAUGAUCCACUGAUCAGAUGGUAUAAAGAUUAAAUCUUUUCUUUUUAUUUUUUUGUUUAUUAGACCCUAUAUUCACAACUAAUAACAAAAUCUAAAAUGUACAGUGUAAUAGAAUGCAAGAAAUCCAGAGAACAACGCUGCAAUGAGCAAGCCAUAAAAAUAUUCAUUAGNNNNN
rnacentral:lncRNA from 1 species